ensembl:miRNA
UAAAAAGUUUGUUUGGGUUUUUCCAUAACAGCUAUAGAAAAACCUGAACAAACUUUUUGGA